rnacentral:rRNA from 1 species
AAAUUGAAGAGUUUGAUCAUGGCUCAGAUUGAACGCUGGCGGCAGGCCUAACACAUGCAAGUCGAACGGUAACAGGAAGCAGCUUGCUGCUUUGCUGACGAGUGGCGGACGGGUGAGUAAUGUCUGGGAAACUGCCUGAUGGAGGGGGAUAACUACUGGAAACGGUGGCUAAUACCGCAUAACGUCGCAAGACCAAAGAGGGGGACCUUCGGGCCUCUUGCCAUCAGAUGUGCCCAGAUGGGAUUAGCUUGUUGGUGAGGUAACGGCUCACCAAGGCGACGAUCCCUAGCUGGUCUGAGAGGAUGACCAGCCACACUGGAACUGAGACACGGUCCAGACUCCUACGGGAGGCAGCAGUGGGGAAUAUUGCACAAUGGGCGCAAGCCUGAUGCAGCCAUGCCGCGUGUAUGAAGAAGGCCUUCGGGUUGUAAAGUACUUUCAGCGGGGAGGAAGGUGUUGUGGUUAAUAACCGCAGCAAUUGACGUUACCCGCAGAAGAAGCACCGGCUAACUCCGUGCCAGCAGCCGCGGUAAUACGGAGGGUGCAAGCGUUAAUCGGAAUUACUGGGCGUAAAGCGCACGCAGGCGGUCUGUCAAGUCGGAUGUGAAAUCCCCGGGCUCAACCUGGGAACUGCAUUCGAAACUGGCAGGCUUGAGUCUUGUAGAGGGGGGUAGAAUUCCAGGUGUAGCGGUGAAAUGCGUAGAGAUCUGGAGGAAUACCGGUGGCGAAGGCGGCCCCCUGGACAAAGACUGACGCUCAGGUGCGAAAGCGUGGGGAGCAAACAGGAUUAGAUACCCUGGUAGUCCACGCCGUAAACGAUGUCUACUUGGAGGUUGUGCCCUUGAGGCGUGGCUUCCGGAGCUAACGCGUUAAGUAGACCGCCUGGGGAGUACGGCCGCAAGGUUAAAACUCAAAUGAAUUGACGGGGGCCCGCACAAGCGGUGGAGCAUGUGGUUUAAUUCGAUGCAACGCGAAGAACCUUACCUGGUCUUGACAUCCACGGAAUUUUCAGAGAUGGAUUGGUGCCUUCGGGAACCGUGAGACAGGUGCUGCAUGGCUGUCGUCAGCUCGUGUUGUGAAAUGUUGGGUUAAGUCCCGCAACGAGCGCAACCCUUAUCCUUUGUUGCCAGCGAUUCGGUCGGGAACUCAAAGGAGACUGCCAGUGAUAAACUGGAGGAAGGUGGGGAUGACGUCAAGUCAUCAUGGCCCUUACGACCAGGGCUACACACGUGCUACAAUGGCGCAUACAAAGAGAAGCGACCUCGCGAGAGCAAGCGGACCUCAUAAAGUGCGUCGUAGUCCGGAUUGGAGUCUGCAACUCGACUCCAUGAAGUCGGAAUCGCUAGUAAUCGUGGAUCAGAAUGCCACGGUGAAUACGUUCCCGGGCCUUGUACACACCGCCCGUCACACCAUGGGAGUGGGUUGCAAAAGAAGUAGGUAGCUUAACCUUCGGGAGGGCGCUUACCACUUUGUGAUUCAUGACUGGGGUGAAGUCGUAACAAGGUAACCGUAGGGGAACCUGCGGUUGGAUCACCUCCUUACCUGAAAGAAGC